rnacentral:lncRNA from 1 species
UCUGUUUCGUGUAGGAGGAAACAGAGGAGUUCAUGUGUGGGGCGUUGGGGAGGAGAAGGGAAGAAGAGGAGAAGAAGAGAAGCAGAAGAAGAACAAGAACAAGAACAAGAAGAAGAAGAAGAAGAAGAAGAAGAAGAAGAAGAAGAAGAAAAGAGGAGGUGGCUGCGGCAAGGGCUGCAGCGAGGAGCUGUGGGGCGUUGGGGAGGAGAAAGGAAGAAGAGGAGAAGAAGA